rnacentral:lncRNA from 1 species
AUGACUCAUUGAACUUAGAAAUGAAUUCCUCAUGCUUACUAGUCACCCUCAACUUGUCCACCAUAUUCACCAUCCAAAGUGCACCGAACCUUCCCAUGCUAAUUGCAUUCGAUAUCUUCGAGCCCCAUUCGGUCAGUCUAACAGCACCAAGAUUGGUAACAGAAAUUGCAAACUCCUUCGCCUCAACUCGAAAACGAUGAUUGAAGGCCACAUCGAAUUCAUCCACAAA